GGAUGUGAGGGCGAUCUGGCAGCGACAUCUGUCACCCUAUUGAUCGCCAGGGUUGAUUCGGCUGAUCUGGCUGGCUAGGCGGGUGUCCCCCUCCUCCCUCACCGAUCCAUGUGCGUCCCUCCCGAAGCUGCGUGCUCGUGCUC
rnacentral:snRNA from 1 species